GCCUGGCUGCUCGCUGUACGGACUUGUUAGCCAGCAAGCCAGAAUUCAGCAAAAUGAAAGCGCUGAACGGUCACAGGCCACAGUCUGUCUCCCUGACCGGAUCUUGGUCAUGCCUGCUUUGUGAGCCCAUGUGGACCCCGGGUUGGAGGAACUCAGAAGCCGGAGUGAAGAUUAGCAAGACGUGUUGUUUGAAGUCUGAAUCAUUAACAGUAUCUGACAGCCACAUGCCGGCCUUAUCAUAGAACAGAAGUCAGACUGGAAGCCCCCGGAGCUCUCAAACUGCUAAGACCAUCGAAGCGAUGAUAUUAUCGUCAUGCGGCAGUUACUCACCAACGCGGUCUCUUUCUUAGGGGCAGUGGGCCAUGUUGGGGAGGAACAGAAGCUUGGACAGGAAGUAGCUCAGCCCUACCACUUGACCUCAACUGACCCCGCGCAAAGUCCAGAACCUCUUUCAGCUUGUUUCCUCAUUUGCAAGAUGCAGAUUGUUGUGAAUUACUAGGUUCUCUUGAGUAGAUAGAAGUUAGUAUAGGUCUCUUCCAUGGCACCCUGGGCAUAGGAAGUACGUUACAACGACCACAUUCGGCCAUGUUUGCAAGCACGCAUUAAACAGCCAGUCUACCUUAUUUUAUGCAAGUUCAGUGGCUGCCAACUCUCUGCCCUUCAGACACUUUGAAAGCGCCUCACAUGAAAGUCUCACUUCAGGCAGGUGCAGCAAUUGUCUGACCACAGGAUUCCGCUGACCUAGUUGCUCAGGUCUGAUGAUUGUGUCAGGAUUGCAGCCUCUAACCAGCAGCUGGGCCUUGUCUGACACUGAAGGAAACACCACAUGGAUAAGCCGCCAUCAAACGCCCGUCCUUACAACUGAGACGAAUCUGGGUGGGCCUGAAUUUGAUAAAGACUAGCACAGACCUUUCUAAUCAAUAACCUAUUUCCAUGAAGUUCAAAUACAUCC